CUGUGGAGCAAGGGGUGUCCCUGCUGCAGUCACAGCUGGCCCGAGACCGACAGCACCACCUGGAGAGCUG
rnacentral:lncRNA from 1 species